AUGCGGCCGCGCGGCAGAGGAGACGACCCUGACGACGACGAGGACUACGAGUCCUCCCCGCAGCGGAGCGCCUCGGGGCAGGAUGCCGAGCCCGAAGAGCCCGCGCCGCCGCCGCCUCAGCCUGCGCGCGCGCCCCUCAGCAGCCUAGUCGUCAGGCCUUCGCCGCCGCCGCCGCCGCAGGAUAACGGCGCGUCCUCCCCGUCCCCGUCCCCUGCCCGUUCGCCCCCCUCCCCCGUCGGCGACGCCCAGGGUCGCCGCCGCGGGUCCUCGCUCCCGCGUCGCCGUCGCGAGUNNNNNNNNNNNNNNNNNNNNNNNNNNNNGAGACGCCGGUCGCCGCCGCCCCCUGCGAGGCGCCGCCCUGGCAGCCCCCCGCCCCCCCAGCGCCGCCGCUUCAGCCCACCCGGUUACCAGCCUCGGCCCCCACGAUUCUACGACGAGCCGCAAGGAUAUGGCAUGCAUGCUGGACCAUCACCUCCGCGCCAACGCAGAUUAGAAAGCAGCAACUUUGAUGACGCUAUUGGUCCACGUUACACCCAUGGCUAUGAAGGGAAUGGUAGAGGAUAUGCAAGGGGUGGUAGGGGAUAUGAAGGGGGUGGUAGGGGAUAUGAAGGGGCUGGCAGAGGAGGUGCAAGGUUCCGAGAUGUUUCUCCACCAUAUGGAAGAGGAGGCAGGUCGCAUGGGAGGGGGGGCUAUAAUGGUCCUGGCAAGGAGUUCAUUCUAAUUGAUGGAGAAUAUGUUCACAGGAAUGAUCCAAAUCUUUCACCAAGAGAAGGUGAUUGGAUAUGCCAGAAUCCGAGUUGUGGAAACCUCAACUUUGCUCGAAGAAGUCACUGUAACAACUGCAACAAACACCGCUAUGAGUCUAGUCGCAGUCCUCACAGGGGUUACUUUGACUCUCCUCCACGAGUGCCUGCAAGGCCGCUUGGUCCACCAGGUGAUCGUGCCCCUCCAAGAGAAAUGGCCAGGUACAAGCCAGCACCCCGUGAUUGGGGUGUGGGUGAUCCUAGAAGUUAUCCAGCUAGAUCGCCUCCAGAACGUGUAGGACGAUUUCCAGAUCCGUUGCAGAGGGAAAGGGGUUUCCGUGGUGAACGUGAGUUGCGUGACCCUGUGAAGUUUGAGUGGUCUGCUGCGGAGUACAAGCAGAGGGAGCGUCCACAUGGUGGGUUGUAUCUUGACAGGAGCCGAUCUCCUCAGGGGAGCUGGGGGAGUGAUAUGCGGGACAGAAGCAGAUCUCCUGCAGGUAACAGACCAAUGAAGGGCGCUUUCUUGGGCAGAGGUCGACCAGACCUAGAGUAUGCUGGUUCAUAUGUAGGCCGAGGGCGGUUGGAUGCUGGGCGUGGGCGUGGACGUGGGCGUGGCCGCGUUUACAGGCCAGGAGGUGAUCCAUACCCUGGCGAGGGUCGAGAUGAUCGGCGUGCUGCUCUUCAUGGUAGGGAUGAUGGUCGGUACUAGUUCAUCCUUGGAACUGAUGCUCUGGAAAGAAAAAUCUAGUUAAGACGGUGCAGGUCUAGCCUGUAAUAUUAAACUACCCGUACUGUUUCCUCAACUGUGAUGACAUUUGCAAUGUUCUGAAAUGAACAAGUCCACUAUACAUUGGAUGGUGGUAUUAUUUUGGUUCAGUGAGCAACUGGGUUGUUAUGUCAAAGCCGAUCUGAUUAUUUGGUUCUUUUGGGUUGCUUCUCGGUUGGGUUAUUAUACC
rnacentral:rRNA from 1 species